rnacentral:rRNA from 1 species
AACGAACGCUGGCGGCAGGCUUAACACAUGCAAGUCGAACGGGUGUAGCAAUACAUCAGUGGCAGACGGGUGAGCAACACGUGGGAACCUUCCUCGUUGUACGGAAUAACUCAGGGAAACUUGAGCUAAUACCGUAUACGUCCGAGAGGAGAAAGAUUUAUCGCAAUGAGACGGGCCCGCGUCGGAUUAGGUAGUUGGUGGGGUAACGGCCUACAAGCCUACGAUCCGUAGCUGAUCUGAGAGGAUGAUCAGCCACACUGGGACUGAGACACGGCCCAGACUCCUACGGGAGGCAGCAGUGGGGAAUCUUGGACAAUGGGCGCAAGCCUGAUCCAGCCAUGCCGCGUGAGUGAAGAAGGCCUUCGGGUUGUAAAGCUCUUUUGUCAGGGACGAUAAUGACGGUAUCUGAAGAAUAAGCCCCGGCAAACUUCGUGCCAGCCGCCGCCGUAA